AAAAUGGCAUUAACUGUUUUGAUUAUGUUCAUUGCUUCACUGGCCAAAUGUUUUGUGUUUAGUGUGUUGUGUCCUAUGUCGGUUAAAAGGUUUUAAAUUGCGGUCAUGAUUUUGUUGUGAUUCUUGAUAUUAUGGACAAAUGAGGCCAUGAUUGACGAUGCAAUGUGGUCGUGGAAGCCAAGGUUUUAUGUUAGCAAUCUCAAGCCCAAUAGACCCAAGAGAUACUCCACGAGGCCCAAAUACCUCAGCGACUUCGUGUAAUUUCUCCCAGCCAGAUAGUGACAAGGAACAGAAUCAUCCGCUAGCACUACACCAGAUUCCUGUCCCUCCUUGCUGCAGCAUUUUGCCAUUCUGUUAUAGCAUUAGCGAUUCUGUUAGAAUAUUUAGCCGACAAGUCUGUUAGUGGCAAUUGUUGAUGAUUACAGCUGGCCCUUGCUCUGUAACGGCCUUUAUCCCUGUAAUUCAGUAUAAAUAACAAUCAACAUCAAUGAAAUGAAAUGAGGCAGGCAGAAUCCAAAUUACUCUUAUUCAUCUUUGUUAAUUUCCUUAGUUAUUAGCUUAGAACCAUAACAACUGGUCCGACCUGCUACCACCGUCAUGUCGGAACAUAACACAUGGCAAGCCACCAUUGAACGGCUCGACGAGGCCAUAGCCAAACUCACACAGAGCCACCACUCACUCUCGCAGAACCAAACUGCCCUCUCCCAAGCCCAACACGACAUGAACGCCAAGAUGGAUUCCCUACUAGAACCUCUUGUUGCCCUUACCCCGAUACCCUCAUCUCCAACCCCACCCAGUAGCUCACGGCCACAUAUGAAACUAGAAGUCCCUCGUUUUGACGGUAGUGAUCCUAUGGGAUGGAUAUUCAAAAUAACUCGGUUUUUUGAUUAUCAGAACAUUCUAGAUCAAGAGAAACUUAUCGUUGCCGGCUUUUACAUGGAAGGUGCCGCUCUCACUUGGUACCAAUGGAUGUACCGUAACGGCUUCCUCACCACUUGGCCUGCCUUGCUCCAGGCACUUGAAUCCCAUUUCGCGCUUUCUUUUUAUGAUGACCCUCACGGCGCCCUCUUCAAGCUUCAACAACGUGGCACUGUCAAGGAGUACUUGACGGAGUUUGAACGCCUAGCAAACCGCACCGUCGGUCUAGCUCCUCCGUUCCUUCUCAGUUGCUUCAUCUUAGGCUUACUUUCGGAACUACGACACGAGGUCCAAGCCCUUCAACCCUUAUCUCUCCCUCAGGCAAUAGCCUUGGCUAGACUCCAGGAGGACAAGCUCCACGAUCGCCGUUGUGGCCCUCGUCCUUUCUCCCUUCCGUCCCAAACAGUCACAUUACCCACAAACCCCUAUCCCUUACCUUCGACCAAGCUCCCUUUUAAACGUCUCUCAUCGAAAGAAAUGGCUGUUCGCUGCGAUAAGGGCUUGUGCUAUACCACUACGAUGACAAGUGGGUUGCGGGCCACCGUUGCAAGCCAUCCCUUCAUCUCCUUAUUGUCGAUGACGAAGGCGAUACCCCAACUCCUUCUUCUCUUCCUGACGAUUUGCCUGACCAAUUACUUCCUCAUGUUAGCAUGAAUGCUUUAGCAGGGCUCUUGGCGCCAAAAACUUUUCGGAUUUACGGUGCCGUGAACCAUCACAGGGUUGUCAUUUUGGUGGACAGCGGCAACACCCAUAACUUUAUUCAAACUAGGGUUGCUAGAUUUCUGAACCUCAAGCACUCACCCACCAACCCAUUACGGGUUAUGGUUGGAAAUGGAAACGUCCUUGAAUGUGAUUCCGUUUGCCCUUCAUUUUCUCUCGCCGUUCAGGGUCACCUCUUUCCAGCGGAUCUCUUCAACCUCCCUAUCACUGGUGCCGAUAUUGUCCUAGGGAUUCAAUGGUUAAAAGCCCUUGGACCAGUCACUGCUGAUUAUUCGCAUUUAACAAUGACCUUCUCAUAUUUGGGCCAACCUGUUACCCUUAAUGCUGAUGUCCCUUUGCUAAUUACACCAGCGUCGGCCCAACAACUGCGCUGUAAUGCGCAAACCCAGAGCAUUGUUGUCCUCUUCCACCUAAUCCCACUCACACCCCCAGCCCAACUAGUACCAACCCAAGUACCUGAUGCCUCUUCUUCCUCACCAGAACUACACACUCUCCUCUCUUUGUUUGACCAUCUCUUUCACGAACCCACCACCCUACCACCACCUCGAAACAUCACUCAUCACAUACACCUUCUCCCAAACACAAACCCAGUAAACAUCAAACCCUACCGCUACCCUUAUUAUCAAAAGUCUGAGCUCGAAAAGCAAGUCACUUCUAUGCUUGAGGCCAGUUUGAUACAACCGAGCCAGAGUCCAUUCUCUUCGCCGAUUCUCCUCGUGAAAAAGAAGGACGGUUGCUGGCGGUGCUUUGUAGACUACAGAGCACUCAACGACAUCACUGUAAAGGAUCGCUUCUCCAUGCCCACCAUUGAUGAACUCCUUGAUGAAUUGGCCAGGCAUCGUGGUUCUCUAAGCUCGAUUUAUGACAAGGGUUCCACCAAAUUCGGGUAGCUCUUGCGGAUGUGCAUAAGACAGCUUUCAGGACUCACGAGGGUCACUAUGAGUUCAAGGUGAUGCCCUUUGGCCUCUGCAACGCUCCGUCAACCUUUCAGGCCACCAUGAAUGGCCUCUUUCAGCCAUUUCUAUGGAAAUUCGCUGCCGUCUUCUUUGACGACAUUCUCGUCUAUAGCACUUCCCUUGUCUUACACCUUGAUCACCUCAAGACCAUAUUCGCGACAUUAUCACAGAGCAAGUUUUUCCUCAGCCGCUCAAAAUGUCUUUUCUCACAAGAACGCAUUCACUAUCUCGGACAUAUUGUAUCGGCUCAAGGGGUUGCACUUGACCCUGAUAAAAUUCAAAUCAUGCUCAACUGGCCUUUACCAACAUCGUCCACGACAUUGCACGGAUUCCUCGGGCUAAUAGGAUUUUACCGCAAAUUUAUCAGAGGCUAUGCUUAGGUCGCUGGCCCGCUGACGGCUUUGCUACGUGAGGACCAAUUCUGUUGGAAUCCAAAUGCCCAACAGGUUUUCAACUUGUUGAAGCAACUCAUGACCACGACCUCUGUUUUAGCCACUCCGGACUUCAUUGUCCCCUUUGUCGUGGAAUCGGACUCUUCAACUCAGGCCAUGGGCGCUGUCCUCAUCCAACGUUCACACCCCAUAGCCUUUUUUAGUAAAUUGUUUUGUCCCAGACUCCAACGAGCCUCCGCUUAUGUUAGGGAACUUAUCGCAAUUACAGCCGCGGUCCGCAAAUGGUAGCACUAUCUCCUCGGCCACCACUUCAUCAUUCUUACUGAUCAUCGUAGCUUGAAAGAUCUCAUGGCUCAGGUUAUUCAAAUCCCAGAGCAAACAGUACCUAUAUAAACUUCCUGGGUAUGAUUACUCCAUUCAAUACAAAUCCGGCCCUGCCAACAUUGUUGUUGAUGCUCUUUCACGCAUCCCUUCACCCUCUGCAGAUCAAUUGUUGUCUUUGUCGGUCCCAAACUUCGAUUUUCUGGACAAACUUCAACAAUCCCUGCAUGACAAUGUUGAAUAUAAAGAGCUAUUUCAGAGGAUCCACAAUGACCCCUCCUCUCAACCCGAGUUCACCAUUCACAGGGACCUUCUCUUUUCUGGUGGCUAAAUCUGGCUCCCUCCCAAUUUUCCUUUUUCCAAGGUUUUACUCUAAGAAUUUCAUGCCACCCCCCUAGGUGGUCAUAUGGGGGUUUCUAAAACCAUCCAUCAUCUUCAGGAAAAUUUCAUUUGGCUAGGAAUGCGUUCCGACGUUCGUAAGUUGAUAUCGCAAUGCCACACUUGCCAACAAAUGAAAUAUGAGACCAAGCGCCCCGCUGGUUUGCUCCAACCUCUCCCUGUCCCUUCUGCAAUAUGAGAGGAUUUAUCUUUGGACUUUAUCACGGGUCUUCCAUCCUCACAAAAUUACAUGGUUAUUUUGGUGGUUGUUGACAGAUGCACCAAGGGCGUCCAUUUCGGUGCCUUACCCUCACAGUACACUGCCUUCAAAGUCGCAUCCCUGUUUCUAGACAGUCUGCAAGUUGCAUGGAUUCUCUCGCAAUCUCAUCUCGGAUCGUGACCCACUUUUUUAUUAGCGCUUUCUGGCGGGAACUCUUUCGCCUAUGCGGCACACAGCUCCGAAUGAGCACGACUUAUCAUCCCCAAAUAGACGGCCAAGCGGAGGUGCUCAACUGCGUCCUAGAGCAAUACCUCCGUUCCUUUGUCCAUGACCGCCCUUCUCAAUGGUUCAAGCACCUUGCCCUCACAGAGUGGUCCUACAACACCUCUAUACAUUCAGGAACCGGCAUUUCACCUUUUGAAGCUACCUACGGGAAGCCACCACCGUCCAUACCACAGUAUCUCCAGGGCACUUCUCGAGUUGCCGUCGUCGAUGACAUCUUAACUACCCGCACCAAACUUCAUGCUACCUUACGCCGCCGCUUACACAAGGCCUAGGCAUCCAUUAAGCAGGCAGCGGACGCUCAUUGGCGCAAUGUUCAGUUCUGGGUCAACGAAUGGGUUUAUGUUUGCCUCCGUCCCCAUCGUCAAACUUCAGUAGCGCCCACCUACAACAAGCUCUCCAAACAUUUCUUUGGGCCUUUUCGCAUCGGAAUGAAUUGGUUCCGUAGCUUAUUGACUGAAGUUACCUGAAUCUUCAAAGAUUCAUCCCGUUUUUCACGUCUCAAAACUAUAACAUCACUGUGGCCCCACACCAACUCUUCCGGACAUGGUUAAGAAGUUGGGAAAAUGAUUUUGGGAUAAACUACAACCACUGGUCGAGUAAUCUUAGAUCAGGGUUUAUGUAUUAGUUGAGGAUAGCACAAUAUAACAGCAGUAGAAAAUAUAUUCAUUUUUGUAUCCAGCUUUUGGUUUCUACCAAGACUACAUUAAGUCUGUUUUGAAACCAAUUGUCUGCUUUAUUAAUCUGUACACUUUGUACCUCUGGUACUUAGAUCAAUAUAUAUUUAUCUUUGCUGAUAAAAAAAAAAACUCUUCUGGAUCACUACCGUUGCUUACCGUGGGAAAUGACCCCGUCAUCCAACCAAUGUCCAUAGUGGAUUGGAAAUGGGAUUUUUCUACCUCCCCUCCAACGAAGCUGGUGUUGGUCCGAUGGGAAGGCGCUGCACCCGAGGAUACCACCUGGGAAGACUGGGAACAACUCUGGACUUCCUACGACCUUGAGGACAAGGUCUUUCUCCCGGAUGGAGGUGAUGUGAACAAUCUUGAGCUCAAUAGACCCAAGAUAUACUCCACGAGGUCCAAAUACCUCAGUGACUUCGUGUAAUUUCUCCCAGCCAGAUAGUGACAAGGCACAGAAUCAUCCGCUAGCACUACACCAGAUUGCUGUCCCUCUUGCUGCUGCAUUUUGCCAUUCUGUUAUAGCAUUAGCGAUUCUGUUAGAAUAUUUAGCUGACAAAUCUGUUAGUGGCAAUUGUUGAUGAUUACAGCUGGCCCUUGCUCUGUAAUGGGCUUUAUCCCCGUAAUUCAGUAUAAAUAACAAUCAACAUCAAUGAAAUGAGGCAGGCAGAAUCCAAAUUACUCUUAUUCAUCUUUGUUAAUUUCCUUAGUUAUUAGCUUAGAACCAUAACAUUUUAAAUUGUGGUUGCAGUUGUGGUUUUGUUGUGAUCCGUAGUAAUAUUGUGGGAAAUUGUAGACAAAUGCGGCGGUUACAAAAUUGUGGUUGUGAUGCGGUUGGUGAGAGCCAAAAAUCCUUGACUUUGUAGCCAAAGUUGCGGUUGCAAACUGUAGUUUAAAACCUUGGUGGAGGCACAUAAACGUUCAUGUUGCAGCCAUAGUUGCGGUUGUGAACCAUAUUUUAAAACCUGGAUUUGAAGGCUAAAGUUCAGGAGAAGUUUUACGAGUACUUGGAUGUGAGGGGAGUGAAUAAUGAGCUUGCAGUUUUCUUGCAUGAAUAUAUGAUGAACAAGG